CCCAUUUCCCCCUCCCUGUUAGGAAGGAAAGCCACAAACAUGUUCUUUGGCUUAUUGUUAAUAUAUCUGAACCGGGAAUUAAUAUGGCUGGUAAGUUAAGACCAUAUGAUGCCUUUUGGAAUCAAGGAAGGCAACAAUCACAAGUAUACUGAUAAUGCCAAGUCAAGGAUUAUGGUUUUUCAUUCUCAGUUGUAAGCAAAGAGGAGCGAAGAGAAGCAAUAUGUACAUUCACGACAAAUCACAGGUUAUGAUGCAUGAACUUGUGCAUAAAUAAGCAUAUGUGUCUUUUAUGCACAGGAGCGCAUGAAUGCGUAUGUCUGCCUCCUUGAGUAGAUCAAUACUGCAUUUUAUGCACUGAGAUGACUGGAUAUAUGGGUUGAUGUGUUUACUGGAGAAAGCGUGGAUGACUUUCCUAAUAAGAAAUACAGUACAUGGGCUGAGAAAGGUUCCCCACCCCUUUUUUAUUGCUUUGCAUGACAUCAGAUAUACAUAAAACAAACAGAUAAUAACCCACAAGCUAAUAAGCAUGAUUUACAUACUUGAUAUUACUAUGACUAGUUAGUCCCAAUUAACAAGUAUCUGCUCUUGACUCUGCCUCCCCCCCCCCGCCAGCCACGUCAACGACGACGCCAACGUCCACUAACGCCCCCCUACUAGCGUGACGUCGCAAAAGCCUCCCUCUUCCGCCUCUCUCGAGCCCCCCUGUUGCCCCACCUCCUUUCGCCCCCUCCCUUUCAGACACGCUCACCCGCCACUUGGCCGGUCCCGGCCGUGUGUCCCCGGUCUUUACCGUCUCCUGUCGUCACUUCCGGGAUCAAAGAACCACUUCCGCCUCUACCGGACCAAGAUGGCAUGUAUUUGGCUGGGAAAGAGAAACAAGCUUUGAGCUAUUUUGAGAGAUUAGAGAAUGAAGGCUUCAAAUAACAAAACAAAAUUUGGAACAGACAAGUGUGCAACAUUCUUCACCAACACAUAGACGCCAGAUGGGGGGGUAUCUAGUUUGACGAUCAGGAAAGCAAAAAGUUUUGGCAUCGCUGUCCGUCGCGGUGAUCAUGAGUUAGCAACAGCAUUGGCUUGGGAAGCUCUUCUGUGAGGAUGGNGGAUAAGGAAAGAACAAGGACUCUGCUGCUGGGAAGCAUAGCCGCCUCUGGACUUACCAUCAUCCAGCCACCCCUGGANAAUGACGGCCUGGUGUUGGAGCUGCAGCUGUGGAACUGCUGACUCGACCAGCUGUGCCUGGGACUAUGGGGGAGGGGCGGUCAGGAAGCUACUGUUUAGGCAGUAGAGGACCAAGGUGGCAUAAAAGCUGCUUUUAUAUUGUUUAAUUGUUGUAUUGAUUUUACUGAUGAUUUGUGUUCUCUAUGAAUGUCG
rnacentral:lncRNA from 1 species